rnacentral:lncRNA from 1 species
GCUGCUCCAGGCCUCUGAGCCCCUGCUUACCUGCCCGAGAUUGACCAACUCGCGGGAGCUCCUAGGAAUGCCCCCUCUACUCCCACCCCUUGCUCACCUGAACAAGCCUAAACUCUUCCCAAUAGCUCCAGUUUAGCCCCCUAGACUCCAAGCUCCUGCUCACCUGCCCAAGCUCUAAUUACUCCCAGGGGCUCCCAGGACUGCCCCCUGCACUCCCAGCCCCUGUUCACCUCCGCAAGCUCUACCAGAUUCAGGAGUUGCUAGGACGGCUCCCUACCCUCCCACCCCCUGCUCACCUGCACAAGCUCUACCUGCUCCCAAGAGGUCCCAGGGAUGCUCCCUGCCCUCCCAGCCCCUGCUCACCUGCCUGGGCUCUACCGGCUCGCAAGGGCUCCCAGGACUGACCCUUGCCCUCCCACCCCCUGCUCGCCUGCACAAGCCUAACCUCUUCCCAAUAGCUCCAGGUUUAGCCCCCUGCCCUUCAGCCCCUGCUUGCCUGCACAAGCUCUUCUUGACCCAGUAACUCCAGGUUCAUUCCACUGCCCUACCAGCUCGUUCUCACCUGCCCAAGGUCUAUUGCUCCCAGGGCUGCCCCCUGCCCUCCCAGCCACUGCUCAUCUGCACAAGCUCUACCAGUUCUGAGGAGCUCCAGGUUCAGCCCCCUGCCCUCCCACCCCUGCCCACCUGCACAAGCUCUACCUGCUCGCAGGAGUUCCCAGGACUGCUCCCUACCCUCCCACCCCCUGCUCACCUGCACAAGCUCUACCUGCUCCCAGGAGUUGCUAGGACUGCUCCCUGCCCGCCCAGCCCCUGCUCACCUGCCUGGGCUCUACCGGCUCGCAAGGGCUCCCAGGACUGACCCUUGCUCUCCCACCCCCUGCUUGCCUGCACAAGCCUAACCUCUUCCCAAUAGCUCCAGGUUUAGCCCCCUGCCCUCCAGCCCCUGCUCACCUGCACCUCACCUGCACAAGCUCCUCCUGCUCCCAGGAACUGCAGGUUCUUCCCCUGCCCUACCAGUUUGUGCUCACCUGCCCAAGAUCUACAGCUCUCAGGUGGUCCCAGGGCUGCCCCCUGCCCUCCCAGCCCCUGCUCAUCUGCACAAGCUCUACCAGUUCCGAGGAGCUUCAGGUUCAGCCCCCUUGCCCUCCCAACCCCUCCUCACCUGCACCAGCUCUA